AUAGGAAUCUAGAGAAGCGGAGUGUUUUCCGCACUCGAGAGGAAAGAGGUUGCAGGGAACUUAGAGACUAAUCUUUGCCAACAUACUGGAUUUCUGGUGAUGACAAUAGCAGCAGAUAGUAUGCGGCUCAGUUAAUACUAAAAACAAUUGAUUUUAGUAAUUAGUGGACUAUGAGUGUGUGUUUGGCCAUCCAGAUUUCAUAACUAAAACUGAUGUUCAAUUACAAGAGAUAUUAAUCAGUCUCCGUGGACUAUACACUGUGCCUAGUUUCAUCCUCAGAGACUGAUGUGUAAGCUUAAAGUAAAGACAUCAAAUCAAGGU